UACAGAACUCCAAAUAGACUGGACCAGAAAAGAAAUUCCUCCCGACACAUAAUAAUCAGAACAACAAAUGCACUAAAUAAAGAUAGAAUAUUAAAAGCAGUAAGGGAGAAAGGUCAAGUAACAUAUAAAGGAAGGCCUAUCAGAAUUACACCAGACUUUUCACCAGAGACUAUGAAAGCCAGAAGAGCCUGGACAGAUGUUAUACAGACACUAAGAGAACACAAAUGCCAGCCCAGGCUACUAUACCCGGCCAAACUCUCAAUUACCAUAGAUGGAGAAACCAAAGUAUUCCACGACAAAACCAAAUUCACACAAUAUCUUUCCACGAAUCCAGCCCAAGAAAACUGAAAAUCAUGGAAAAUGAGAAACAUCCACUUGACACCUUGAAAAAUGACGAAAUCACUGAAAAACGUGAAAAAUGAGAAAUGCACACUGUAGGACCUGGAAUAUGGCGAGAAAACUGAAAAUCACUGAAAAUGAGAAAUACACACUUUAGGACAUGAAAUAUGGCGAGGAAAACUGAAAAAGGUGGAAAAUUUAGAAAUGUCCACUGUAGGACAUGGAAUAUGGCAAGAAAACUGAAAAUCAAGGAAAAUGAGAAACAUCCACUUGAAAACUUAAAAAAUGACAAAAUCACUGAAAAACGUGAAAAAUGAGAAAUGCACACUGUAGGACCUGGAAUAUGGCGAGAAAACUGAAAAUCACGGAAAAUGAGAAAUACAUACUUUAGGACGUGAAAUAUGGCGAGGAAAACUGAAAAAGGUGGAAAAUUUAGAAAUGUCCACUGUAGGACAUGGAAUAUGGCAAGAAAACUGAAAAUCAUGGAAAAUGAGAAACAUCCACUUGACGACUUGAAAAAUGACGAAAUCACUGAAAAACGUGAAAAAUGAAAAUGCACACUGUAGGACCUGGAAUAUGGCGAGAAAACUGAAAAUCACUGAAAAUGAGAAAUACACACUUUAGGACAUGAAAUAUGGCAAGGAAAACUGAAAAAGGUGGAAAAUUUAGAAAUGUCCACUGUAGGACAUGGAAUAUGGCAAGAAAACUGAAAAUCAAGGAAAAUGAGAAACAUCCACUUGACAACUUGAAAAAUGACAAAAUCACUGAAAAACGUGAAAAAUGAGAAAUGCACACUGUAGGACCUGGAAUAUGGCGAGAAAACUGAAAAUCACUGAAAAUGAGAAAUACACACUUUAGGACAUGAAAUAUGGCGAGGAAAACUGAAAAAGGUGGAAAAUUUAGAAAUGUCCACUGUAGGACAUGGAAUAUGGCAAGAAAACUGAAAAUCAUGG
rnacentral:lncRNA from 1 species